rnacentral:rRNA from 1 species
GAGACCCACGCCGACAGUUGCCAGCAUGUCCUCCGGGAUGGUGGGGACACUGUUGGGACCGCCUCUGCUAAAGAGGAGGAAGGAAUGGGCAACGGUAGGUCAGCAUGCCCCGAAUUAUCCGGGCUACACACGGGCUACAAUGGUCAGGACAAUGGGUAUCGACACCGAGAGGUGAAGGCAAUCUCUUAAACCUGUCCUUAGUUCGGAUUGUGGGCUGCAACUCGCCCACAUGAAGCUGGAAUCCGUAGUAAUCGCGUCUCAAAAUGGCGCGGUGAAUAU